rnacentral:tRNA from 1 species
GCUGAUUGUGGCUCUGUGGUAAAGUGUGUGCCCAGCCUGCUCGAGGUCCUGGGUUCAUCCCCAGCACUGCA